rnacentral:rRNA from 1 species
GUGCCAGCCGCCGCGGUAAUACGGAGGGGGUUAGCGUUGUUCGGAAUUACUGGGCGUAAAGCGCGCGUAGGCGGACAUUUAAGUCAGAGGUGAAAUCCCGGGGCUCAACCCCGGAACGGCCUUUGAUACUGGGUGUCUUGAGUUCGAGAGAGGUGAGUGGAAUUCCGAGUGUAGAGGUGAAAUUCGUAGAUAUUCGGAGGAACACCAGUGGCGAAGGCGGCUCACUGGCUCGAUACUGACGCUGAGGUGCGAAAGUGUGGGGAGCAAACAGGAUUAGAUACCCGAGUAGUCC